rnacentral:misc_RNA from 1 species
GACGACGUUUCACCCCUAACAAAAAGUUGUGAUCUGAGCGAAGUCGGUUGAUUUCAUUUGGUUUUUUUUUUAAAUUAUUCGUCUCGCCGUGAUCGGAUCGGAUUCCCCAAUAAUCUCUGAGCGUACCGCCUAUCAUUCAAGUGAAAUGUCGUUGAAUCCGCAGUACGAGGAAAUCGGCAAGGGAUUUGUGCAGCAGUACUAUGCUAUAUUUGAUGACCCGGCGAACCGGGCGAACGUGGUUAAUUUCUAUAGCGCUACUGACUCAUUCAUGACCUUCGAAGGCCACCAAAUACAGGGAGCACCCAAGAUUUUGGAAAAAGUUCAGAGUCUGAGCUUUCAGAAGAUUACCAGAGUGAUAACCACAGUGGACUCGCAGCCCACUUUCGAUGGCGGAGUUCUGAUCAACGUCCUUGGACGACUGCAGACCGACGAGGAUCAGCCGCACGCCUACAUUCAGACCUUCGUACUGAAGCCGGUGGGCGGCAGUUUCUUUGUGCAGCACGAUAUAUUCCGACUCUCGCUGCACGAUGUGUAGCACCAGCGAGCCCGAUCUGCCACGCCCAGUCCACAACAGACUCCAGCGCCCGGCUAUAUGUGUGUCAAUCGAGAUCGAGAUCAGCAGCCAAACGAUCAGCCAGCAGACUCGAGACGAGAGCCAGUUAAAAAACGAAAGAAAGCAAUAUCUAAGCGAUAGGAUAGUUCUGCUGCUUGUCGACCUUAUGCCGCCCAGCCAUGCCCACUCCGCCCACACAUACAAAAAUAUUUAUCCUUGGCGUCUCGUCCGUCGUCGUCCAAUUUCUUCUAAUUAUCCUCACAUGCGAUGACGAUCCACCACAUGCCUUCUCGCAGGUCUUUUUCCUGAAGGCCAACGCAGGCACCUUCUUCGUGGCCCACGACAUCUUCCGUCUCAACAUCCACAACUCUGCCUAGGAGCAACCCACACCCCCACGCACGCACACCACUCAGCACCACACAUAAUCGAAAUCCAAAGAUGCCCAGCGCCUAAUGAUAACAACAAGCUCGGCAGUGGAACUCAGAAACAAGUAUAACAAAGCCAGCCAGCGUUCUCACGAUUAUCAGCAAACACAAAAGUUACAAAAAGAAACGAAAAAAAAACAAUAAAAACAUAAGAAAUUAAACGCUAACUACUA